rnacentral:lncRNA from 1 species
UUGUUAACUAUUUGCAAAUUGGUGGCUACAGUCUCUCUCUCUUUUUUCUUUCUAUGAUCUGCUUAUGCCCCAUUGAUGGUUAAGUUUAGGGGUAGAACUUAAUGUUUAGGCAUACUUUUUUUCCUUAAAGAUUGUAUGUUUCUGUACAAAUUGCAUCGUACAAAAUUGUUUGACAGUUGUAAAGAAACUGAAGUAGUGACUGAUCUUUUCUUUCUUAUUGUGAUGUAUUCUUUCAGAUUAUCCGAAAAAAAAAAGUAGGAUGAGGACUUGGUUCAAUUCAUAAUUUGUUAAUUGGAUUUUGGGCAUUGCAAAAGUGGAGGCAGGUGAGCAGGGGCGGGGUUUAAGCAGACAAAAUGAUUAGAGAAGUCCUGCAUAUGCCAUCAGAGAGACAUCUGUCGUUUUCACCAGAAAGUCCAGUUAUGAUACUUUCAUGUCAAAAAAAGAAAUAAACAUGAUGAAUUACAAUAAUAGCUCACAAGAAUUAUAGCAUGCAUUUUGAAGGCGGGAAGGCGUACACUUUUCCCUGUGUGCCCGCGGACAGCGAUGAUGGGACAGUUGUGCUGGAUGUAUAGUCAGUGACAGGAUGGAUAUCAGCGGGAUCCUCUCUAUUGCUGCUGUCCUUCGUUUCUCUAUCGGUGUCUACGGCGAGGCAGGACAAAGCGCUGUGUACCAGAAUACACUGCAGAGCUCAGCCUGGACAGGUUUGUGCGCUGACAUCCUUAGGGCAGGAUGCUGAAAUAUACUCAACCUUCCCACAGAAUCGUCAACCUACUCCCAGUUCAUGCUGGGGCAGUGUGAGAUUCCUCUAUGAUUGCCUCAUCUGUAGACUUAUUUUACUCAGACCAGCAGUCUAUGCUGUUAAACCUCUUAUAUUUAGUCUCUUGUGGUACCACCAGGAGUCUUGUUGGUGGUCUUUAUCGUGCUCUAUAACCGUAACACCAUGGAAAAUAUGACUGGAACUCUACCCUGAUGCUAUUUCAGCAAAUAGCUUUACUGUAUGUCCAGACCGACAUACAGCGUGGAACCUGAGCUCUCACGAGACGAGACAUGAGUGUGUACAAGAAAAGAUUCAGGACUGUUGAACUAUUCACCUACCAGUGUACAAGAAUGGAAACUAUUUAUAAUGUCUAAACAUAUUUUAUUAUAAAAUGUAAUGGUGUACAGAAGACCAAUCAUGCUAAAGCCAUUAAAAGAAAC